UACAGAGGUCUCAAGCGUUGUUCGGAUUCAUUGGGCGUAAAGAGCGUGUAGGCGGCCAAGCAGGUCCGCUGUGAAAACUCGAGGCUCAACCUCGAGACGUCGGUGGAAACCGUUUGGCUAGAGUCCGGAAGAGGAGAGUGGAAUUCCCGGUGUAGCGGUGAAAUGCGCAGAUAUCGGGAAGAACACCCGUGGCUAAGGCGGCUCUCUAGUACGGUACUGACGCUGAGACGCGAAAGCGUGGGGAGCGAACAGG
rnacentral:rRNA from 1 species